UAGCUCCAGUAAAGACAAAGUGGAAUCUGUUCAUGGACGUUCAUCGUUCUCUUACAUUGCUUUAUUGGGUGUUAUUUUGAUUUUUUUCAUUUGAAGGCACCAAUGGUGCAUUGAUGUCCAAAGAGACCCAAAAUCUGAUCCACAAGCUCAAUCUCGAUGGCCCUUAUUUGGGUGUAGUCAUUCCAAAUCUCUUUGAGCAAAACCCUCUUCUUAAUUCUGCUGACUACACUGCUACUGAUGUUAUCAUUGACAUUUCUGGAAGGAGAUUUCGUUUCGGAAGUAUUGGUGACCAAAAAGUAAUUUCAGUCAUGACAGGAUUGGGCAUGAUUAAUGCAGGAAUAACUACUCAACUUUUGUUGAGCUUCUUCAAAGUGGAAGGAGUUGUGCACUAUGGGAUAGCUGGGAACGCAAACCCUUCUCUCAACAUAGGUGAUGUGGCUAUUCCUUCACGAUCCAAAGGUUUGGGAGAUGAGUGUGAAGACAUGAUCGAGAAGGUAGGGAUGAUCGUUGUAAGAUUAGACGAAUGGGUAUCUAUAGGGUUUUUUCCCUCAGAGCUUUUUUCUGGAAGGUUUAGAAUAAAGUUUGAAAAUUUGAAUGAGAAUUAUUUUGAAAUAGAACUAUUUAAAUGAGAAGUAAAAUUAUGAAUCGACUGUUUCACUCGGUAAUUGUGUUUGCAUUAAGUUUUAAAUGUAGCUUGUCAGGAGAUCGAAUGAUCGUGUACCUACAAAUCGCCUCGAUCUGUGGAGAAUGACGGCUUUAGGCUAAAUUUUUGGCGUUGAAGAGGCGGCCCAAGAUUCGAGUAAUUUAGCAUGCCUCGUCCAUUCGAAGCUCGGGCCAGGGGGCAUCUGUUGGGCCUAAAAUAUUCGGCCCAAAGUCCUUUCCUCAUUUACCGAACAUUCAAAACGGAUCGUUUUGACCUGCAGAACCUCCGAAGGCAGAAGCCACGGGUCAGAGGCGCGCUGCGCCUCUAACCUCCGAAUACAUAAUUUAAAAUCAGCAUGUUUUGGAGGGAAAUUCGGUUAUCUUUUCGCCACCAAUCCAGGGUAACCCCGACGAGUCAAAGGCGAUCUUCAUCACCGGAAUAGUGACAAAGCAUCAUCUACCGUUGGAUCAUACCUCCAGAUAUAGAAAGACAAAUUGUUGCUUCAACACAUACCACCCAAAUAAGAAAUCAAGAGCUCUAGAGGCCGCCCUUUGAUCAGCUGUUGUUUUGUGUUUUGGUUCGAAACAAUGAGUAACUAUAGUAAUCCCUAUUUUCCCCUUU